AACGCGAAGAACCUUACCAGCCCUUGACAUCCCGGUCGCGGACACCAGAGAUGGAGUCUUUCAGUUCGGCUGGACCGGAGACAGGUGCUGCAUGGCUGUCGUCAGCUCGUGUCGUGAGAUGUUGGGUUAAGUCCCGCAACGAGCGCAACCCUCGCCCUUAGUUGCCAUCAUUUAGUUGGGCACUCUAAGGGGACUGCCGGUGAUAAGCCGCGAGGAAGGUGGGGAUGACGUCAAGUCCUCAUGGCCCUUACGGGCUGGGCUACACACGUGCUACAAUGGCGGUGACAGUGGGAUGCAAUGGAGCGAUCCUGCGCAAAUCUCAAAAAGCCGUCUCAGUUCGGAUUGUGCUCUGCAACUCGAGCACAUGAAGUUGGAAUCGCUAGUAAUCGCAGAUCAGCACGCUGCGGUGAAUACGUUCCCGGGCCUUGUA
rnacentral:rRNA from 1 species